AUGCAUGUCUAAGUACAUACUUUUACAUAGUGAAACCGCGAAUGGCUCAUUAAAUCAGUUAUGGUUCCUUAGAUCGUACAAUCCUACUUGGAUAACUGUGGCAAUUCUAGAGCUAAUACAUGCAAAUCAGCUCCGACCUUCGGGGAAGAGCGCUUUUAUUAGAUCAAGACCAAUACGGGCUCUGUCCGUUCCUUUGGUGACUCUGGAUAACUUUGUGCUGAUCGCAUGGCCUUGCGCCGGCGACGUAUCUUUCAAAUGUCUGCCCUAUCAACUGUCGAUGGUACGUGCUAUGCCUACCAUGGUUUUUACGGGUAACGGAGAAUCAGGGUUCGAUUCCGGAGAGGGAGCAUGAGAAACGGCUACCACA
rnacentral:rRNA from 1 species